GAAAGCCGUAUGCGGGAAAACUGCACGUACGGUUUGAUGUGGCA
rnacentral:autocatalytically_spliced_intron from 1 species